UACGGAGGAUGCAAGCGUUAUCCGGAAUGAUUGGGCGUAAAGCGUCCGCAGGUGGCUGUGUAAGUCUGCUGUUAAAGAGUCUAGCUCAACUAGAUAAAGGCAGUGGAAACUACACGGCUAGAGUGCGUUCGGGGCAGAGGGAAUUCCUGGUGUAGCGGUGAAAUGCGUAGAGAUCAGGAAGAACACCGGUGGCGAAGGCGCUCUGCUAGGCCGCAACUGACACUGAGGGACGAAAGCGUGGGGAGCAAACAGG
rnacentral:rRNA from 1 species